AUGAACAUGAGGGCUCCUGCUCAGCUCCUGGGCCUCCUGCUGCUCUGGCUCCCAGGUGCCAGCUGUGCUGUUCAGAUCACCCAAUCACCAUCCGUGGUGUCUGCAAAUGUGGGAGGCACAGCCACCAUCAAUUGCCAGUCAAGUCAGAGUGUUCACAACAACAAUGUUCUAUCCUGGUAUCAGCAGAAACCUGGGCAACGUCCAAAGCUCCUGAUCUACUUGGCAUCCAAUUUAGAGUCUGGAGUUCCAUCGAGGUUCAAGGGCAGUGGGUCUGGGAAAUCAUUCACUCUCACCAUCAGCGGGGUGCAGCAGGAGGAUGCAGGAACCUACUACUGUUUUGGAGUAUUUAAAGAUCAUAACGAUACCACAUACUUUCAGGGACAAGCUGUGAUUAUAAGUACUUUCAAUGCAUAUCAUUAUAAAAAUUAA